UAACCCUGGCAAUGGGCAAAGAGACACCUUGUUAGUAGUGUUUUCCUCGUGUCGGGGACACAGCAGAUGACAGUCCUUUUUUCAUCCUAGCUUGAUGCCUGGCUUGGUGGCCCAAACUAUCUCAUGCCUAGGACACACAA